rfam:Oryza barthii chromosome 2, whole genome shotgun sequence.
AAUAUAGGGGAUUUUGAGUUUUUGCUUACAGCGUUUGACCACUCGUCUUAUUCGAAUAUUUUUGAAAUUAUUAUUUAUUUUAUUUGUGGCUUAUUUUAUUAUGAGUACUUUAAGCACAACUUUUCAUUUUUUAUAUUUAUAAAAAAAAUUUGAAUAAGACGAGUGGUUAAACGUCGUAAGAAAAACUCAAAAUCCCUUAUA